ensembl:lncRNA
GUAGGACUCAACCACACACAGGGUCACAUGCUGUUCUGUUGUUCAGUACUAUACACACACCCUGCAGCCUCCUCUGCUGAACCGACCGUUGACAUCUGGCUAAGUGGCUGUAGAUAGUGUUCUGAUUGGAGGAGGCUGUAGAUAGUGUUCUGAUGGGAGGAGGCUGUAGAUAGUGUUCUGAUUGGAGGAGGCUGUAGAUAGUGUUCUGAUGGGAGGAGGCUGUAGAUAGUGUUCUGAUGGGAGGAGGCUGUAGAUAGUGUUCUGAUGGGAGGAGGCUGUAGAUAGUGUUCUGAUUGGAGGAGGCUGUAGAUAGUGUUCUGAUGGGAGGAGGCUGUAGAUAGUGUUCUGAUUGGAGGAGGCUGGAGGCUGUAGAUAGUGUUCUGAUGGGAGGAGGCUGUAGAUAGUGUUCUGAUGGGAGGAGGCUGGUGGCUGUAGAUAGUGUUCUGAUGGGAGGAGGCUGUAGAUAGUGUUCUGAUGGGAGGAGGCUGUAGAUAGUGUUCUGAUUGGAGGAGGCUGUAGAUAGUGUUCUGAUUGGAGGAGGCUGUAGAUAGUGUUCUGAUGGGAGGAGACUGUAGAUAGUGUUCUGAUGGGAGGUGGCUGGAUGGCUGUCAGUGGGGCAGCGGCUGGGGGGCGAGUAACGUUACAUACAGACUCUGGGGUACAUCCACUGAGUGCAAAGAUCACUGUCAGAGAGAGAGGGAGAGAGAGGGAGGGAGAGAGAGAGAGAGAGAGAGGGAGAGAGAGAGAGAGACAGAGAGCUAGAUAGAGAACAGUCAUAUUCUCUCUCUAUGUUGCUAGGAGACCGAGGCUAAUUAAACAAUAUUCAGAUUGGAUCAUUAAUCAGAAAACUAGAGAUUCUUGUUCUGAUUUGUACCUCUCCUCUCCUCUCCAUCUCUCUUCUCCCUCUCCUCUCC